CUAUAGCUCAGUGGUAGAGCACCUGCUUGACAUGCAGAAGGUCCAACGUUCAAUCCCCAGUAUCUGGA